GUAGGUGGCAAGCGUUGUCCGGAAUUAUUGUGCGUAAAGCGCGCGCAGGCGGUCCUUUAAGUCUGAUGUGAAAGCCCACGGCUCAACCGUGGAGGGUCAUUGGAAACUGGGGGACUUGAGUACAGAAGAGGAAAGCGGAAUUCCAAGUGUAGCGGUGAAAUGCGUAGAGAUUUGGAGGAACACCAGUGGCGAAGGCGGCUUUCUGGUCUGUAACUGACGCUGAGGCGCGAAAGCGUGGGGAGCAAACAGGGAUUAGAUACCCUGGUAGUCCACGCCGUAAACGAUGAGUGCUAAGUGUUAGGGGGUUUCCCGCCCCUUAGUGCUGCAGCUAACGCAUUAAGCACUCCGCCUGGGGAUACGGCCGCAAGGCUG
rnacentral:rRNA from 1 species